rnacentral:rRNA from 1 species
AUUGAACGCUGGCGGAAUGCUUUACACAUGCAAGUCGAACGGUAGAGGGGGCAACCCCUUGAGAGUGGCGAACGGGUGAGUAAUAUAUCGGAACGUGCCCAGUCGUGGGGGAUAACGUAGCGAAAGUUACGCUAAUACCGCAUACGAUCUAAGGAUGAAAGCGGGGGACCGUAAGGCCUCGCGCGAUUGGAGCGGCCGAUAUCAGAUUAGGUAGUUGGUGGGGUAAAGGCUCACCAAGCCAACGAUCUGUAGCUGGUCUGAGAGGACGACCAGCCACACUGGAACUGAGACACGGUCCAGACUCCUACGGGAGCAGCAGUGGGAAUUUUGGACAAUGGACGCAAGUCUGAUCCAGCCAUUCCGCGUGCAGGAUGAAGGCCCUCGGGUUGUAAACUGCUUUUGUACGGAACGAAAGGUUUCUCUUAAUACGAGGAGCUCAUGACGGUACCGUAAGAAUAAGCAACCGGCUAACUACGUG